AAUAUUGCGCAAUGGGGGAAACCCUGACGCAGCGACGCCGCGUGAACGAUGAAGGCCUUCGGGUCGUAAAGUUCUGUCCUCAGGGAAGAAUAAAUUGACGGUACCUGAGGAGGAAGCCCCGGCUAACUACGUGCCAGCAGCCGCGGUAAUACGUAGGGGGCAAGCGUUGUCCGGAAUUAUUGGGCGUAAAGGGCGCGUAGGCGGCCAUUUAAGUCUGAUGUGAAAGUGCGGGGCUUAACCCCGUAAAGCAUUGGAAACUGGAUGGCUUGAGGACAGGAGAGGAAAGUGGAAUUCCUAGUGUAGCGGUGAAAUGCGUAGAUAUUAGGAGGAACACCAGUGGCGAAGGCGACUUUCUGGACUGUAACUGACGCUGAGGCGCGAAAGCGUGGGGAUCAAAC
rnacentral:rRNA from 1 species